CAAGGGUCAGGAAUUUCAUCACAAUGUACAUGUGAGUCAGUUUUGUACUUGGAAGAGUAAAGAUAUUAGAAAGGUCAAGAACAUCUUCUAGAAAGGGUCUAUGGCACCUUCAGCACCAGAGAGAGAGCAUUGGCAUCAUUUCAGAAUAACUGAUCAUGAAGUGACAUGGAUUUUUGAUCUGCUGUGCUUCAACAUCUGCCCAGGAACUGGAAGUGAUUAUCUUUAAAGGUUAAUCAGCUGAGACUUGUAGUAUGAUGGUGCAAGGGGAUACAAAGCCUGAUACAACCAUCUCCUAUAAUGAGGCAAGACUUUAAAAUUGAGGGAUGUAGACACUAACCCAGCCACAAAACCUUCGACAAUUUGUCCUGCCAGCAUGAUAUGGUCCAGUAAAGGGUUGCCCUGUCCACUCUUAAUGAUGGGAUGUGCCUACACAUAUUCUAACUUGAUAUUCCCUGUUUUAUUGAUAUCUAUGGGAGGACUGUUCUCUUUUGAAAGGAAAUGGAAGAGGAGUGGAUGGGGAGGUAGAAGGAGAAGGACAGGGAGCAGAAGAGGGAGGGAAUACUGCUUGGAAUGUGAUAUAUGAUGGAAUAAAUUAAUAAAACAAAACAGAAACUAAA